AACGAACGCUGGCGGCAGGCCUAACACAUGCAAGUCGAGCGCGCCCUUCGGGGUGAGCGGCGGACGGGUGAGUAACGCGUGGGAACGUGCCCUUUUCUACGGAAUAGCCUCGGGAAACUGCGCGUAAUACCGUAUACGCCCUUUGGGGGAAAGAUUUAUCGGAAAAGGAUCGGCCCGCGUUGGAUUAGGUAGUUGGUGGGGUAAUGGCCUACCAAGCCGACGAUCCAUAGCUGGUUUGAGAGGAUGAUCAGCCACACUGGGACUGAGACACGGCCCAGACUCCUACGGGAGGCAGCAGUGGGGAAUCUUAGACAAUGGGGGCAACCCUGAUCGAGCCAUGCCGCGUGAGUGAUGAAGGCCUUAGGGUUGUAAAGCUCUUUCAGCUGGGAAGAUAAUGACGGUACCAGCAGAAGAAGCCCCGGCUAACUCCGUG
rnacentral:rRNA from 1 species